UUACACUUGGAUUCAGGGAUUCAUCCGUCCUCGUUCCUUUUUCUUUCGUUCUAUCAAGGAGGAGCUAAAAAGCAAAUAAAGCAAAUAAGGAAAUAAAGAAUCGAUGCAGUAUUUUAGACAUGAACAGCGCUUAAUCGCUUGUGUCAUUGUCAAUGAAUUUGAUACUGAAUUCAUUCUUGCGAUUUAAUCUUCUUCUAUCCGAUCUGCACAAUCUCUCUCUGAGAGGACACCACCCUGGUUGGCUCACCGGUUUUCAAAGAGAGAUGAGUCAGCAUAUCUGAAGAAAAAAAAACUUUUUUUUCACAGCACACUUGGUCAGAUAAUAAGAUUACUUGUAGCAACGUGGAAAUUAUCAAAGCUGCACACAUGGAAGUUAUUUUGUAUUUGGUAGUAGGACUUGUAAUACUGAUGUUACUUCUAAUAGCAGGUAUAAUGUAUUGCAUUGUAAAGCUGAAGAGAAACCGUGACAGAAAUGAGUCAAAUGAUCAUCCUCUUGAGACAGUGAGAGUGGACGGAGAUCCAGAAAAAGAACAAGAACAUCUGCUGAAAGAAGACACUGAUGGUUCAAGAAAAGACACAGAACUUGAGAGGAAAAAAGAAGAUCAGAUAAAAGGUGACCAAGUGAAAUCCAAGAACCAGAAUCAAGUGGGAAAUCUGAGAGGAGGAGAAGAGGAGAAACCGAAUAAGGAGAAACUGAGAAAAGAGGAAGA